rnacentral:rRNA from 1 species
GUGAAAUACGGGCUGUGAGUCGGGGGUAUACGUAGUGUGCAAAGGUUAUCCGGGAUGACUGGGCUGAAAGCGGAGUCAGGCGGGGCAUGAAGUCUGACGUGAAAGCUCCUGGAGUUACUGGGAGGGGUCGGUGGAGACUGAUGUGGUUAAGGCGGUGAGAGGGGUGUAGAAUUCCCGGUGUAGGGGUGGAAUGCGUAGAUAUCGGGAGGAAUACCAGAGGCGAAAGCGACACCCUGGCUCGAUACUGACGCUGAGGUGCGAAAGCGUGGGGAGCAAACAGGAUUAGAUACCCUAGUAGUC